rnacentral:rRNA from 1 species
GACGAACCACACGAACGUUAUUCGGACUUACUGGGCUUAACGGGUGCGUAGGCGGCGCAUAAAGUUGGGUGUGAAAUCCCUCGGCUCAACCGAGGAACUGCGCCCAAAACUACUGUGCUUGAGGAAGAUAGAGGUAAGCGGAACUUACGGUGGAGCGGUGAAAUGCGUUGAUAUCGUAAGGAACACCUGUGGCGAAAGCGGCUUACUGGGUCUUUUCUGACGCUGAUGCACGAAAGCCAGGGGAGCAAACGGG